GUCUGUGUAGACAGGGGGAGGCCGAGUCAGGCCCCGGUGCCCGGGCGUCCGCGGCCUCCCCCAGAGCUCCGCGUUGGGCCUUUCAGUUUCCCGCAUCUUUUCUGACCUUCCCAGAACCAGGCUGGGGCGAAGGGGAGCUGUCCCAGGCAGCAGCCCACCCUGGGCCAGGACCGGUGGCCGAAGUACUUGUGAUGGGUACUUCAGGUCACCUGUGUCCUCCCCAGACCCCUGGACAACAGAUCGUGCAGGCCUGGAGGAGGGGUGCUUGGCUGGUUUCGGUCCCUGUCGACCACAGCGUGUUGACAGUGACCAGUGGAGCCCACCCCGUCUGAAGACUGUGGAUGUGUCGGGAGCCACUGAACUGCUGUUGCGUCUGAGCUUGUGGAUGUGUUGGUGACUUUGAGCUUCACAGAGAAGGCAUCCCGGGUCCUCAGAGCAGUGCCCGCCUCCGCUUCAUGUCCCGGCUGGUAGAGUAGAUGCCUGAAGAGACCAGGAGUGACACCCAAGGGCACGUGCUCCGGAAAUGCCCCCAGGAGGACGGACCAGACUAGAGCCUGACGUGACACCACCCUCCCUGCCGUUCUACGCGUCGGACACCCCGGACUUCUCACAGUCCUCCAGUGUGCCUGCUCCGCCCACCACAGGGCCUUUGCGUGUGCCGCUCCGUCUGCCUGCAGU